rnacentral:rRNA from 1 species
ACGGAAGGCAGCAGUGAGGAAUAUUGGUCAAUGGACGGAAGUCUGAACCAGCCAAGUAGCGUGAAGGACGACGGUAUUAUGUAUUGUAAACUUCUUUUAUACGGGAAUAAAAAAGGCCACGUGUGGCCUCUUGCAUGUACCGUAUGAAUAAGCAUCGGCUAAUUCCGUGCCAGCAGCCGCGGUAAUACGGAAGAUGCGAGCGUUAUCCGGAUUUAUUGGGUUUAAAGGGAGCGUAGGCGGGUCUUUAAGUCAGUGGUCAAAGCGUGUGGCUCAACCAUACCACGCCAUUGAUACUGGAGACCUUGAGUGCACAUAAGGAUGGUGGAAUUCGUCGUGUAGCGGUGAAAUGCUUAGAUAUGACGAAGAACUCCGAUUGCGAAGGCAGCUGUCCGGGGUGUAACUGACGCUAAUGCUCGAAAGUGCGGGUAUCAAACAGGAUUAGAUACCCUGGUA